UGGGGAAUAUUGGACAAUGGGGGGAACCCUGAUCCAGCCAUGCCGCGUGUGUGAAGAAGGCCUUAUGGUUGUAAAGCACUUUAAGCGAGGAGGAGGGUACUGGUAUUAAUACUACCAGCUACUGGACGUUACUCGCAGAAUAAGCACCGGCUAACUCUGUGUCAGCAGCCGCGGUAAUACAGAGGGUGCGAGCGUUAAUCGGAUUUACUGGGCGUAAAGCGUGCGUAGGCGGCUAAUUGAGUCGGAUGUGAAAUCCCCGAGCUUAACUUGGGAAUUGCAUUCGAUACUGGUUAGCUAGAGUGUGGGAGAGGAUGGUAGAAUUCCAGGUGUAGCGGUGAAAUGCGUAGAGAUCUGGAGGAAUACCGAAGGCGAAGGCAGCCAUCUGGCCUAACACUGACGCUGAGGUACGAAAGCAUGGGGAGCAAACAGG
rnacentral:rRNA from 1 species